GUAAAUGUGGUAUAAACAGGCCACAGCUUUAUUUAUUUAUAAAUAACAAGCAUAAAUAUAUACCAAUAUUAACUAUCCUUUAAUAUAAGCAUAAUGUAACUCAAACUCGUCCUUGCCAACCGGACCAAACAACUCUAGAGUACCCCCUUUUCGGGGCCUGCCCUCCCCCCUCGUCCGAGAUAACUGGCCUUCACCUUGGCCUUCCAAUACCCCAUGCCAACCCCUGGCCGCCUUUCCUGGCACGGAGGGCACGCCCAAUUACCAAACAUUUUCUGAGGUUAGGGGAGGGACCAGACCCAGCAUUCCUUCUUCCAGUGUACUCCUUUCCCAACUGGUUCGGCAAGGACCAUACCCGCCAGCUGUGACAAGAAAGAGAAUUAGUGAUACGCAAUGGAAAACAAGCAACAAAGGGUGGGAGGGAAGAUGUUACCAGCCGUUAUUUGUAAGAUGGCUGAGGUAAGGGGACAAAAUGACUGCUCU